UACGUAGGUGGCGAGCGUUGUCCGGAUUUACUGGGCGUAAAGCGCGCGCAGGCGGCCUUUUAAGUCUGACGGUGAAAUGCCGGGGCUCAACCCCGUGCCCGCCGGAGAUACUGGGAGGCUGGAGACGAGUAGAGGCAAGCGGAAUUCCGGGUGUAGCGGUGGAAUGCGUAGAGAUCCGGAAGAACACCGGAGGCGAAGGCGGCUUGCUGGGCUCAUGUCUGACGCUGAGGCGCGAAAGCGUGGGGAGCGAACAGG
rnacentral:rRNA from 1 species